rnacentral:lncRNA from 1 species
AGGUGUAGUACUGAAACUAUCGAGGUCACCUAGCCAGCUACACCUAGCCAGCUACACGGUCAAACAAAGUCAACAACGCAGCCACUGCUAGCUAGCCUACUCCACCAGCCAGCAGUACUGUAUCAUUUUCGUCAUUUCAGUCAAUAGAUUUUCUGCAACGUAAGCUUAACUUUCUGAACAUUCGAGACGUGUAGUCCACUUGUCAUUCCAAUCUCCUUUGCAUUAGCGUAGCCUCUUCUGUAGCUUGUCAACUAUGUGUCUGUCGAUCCCGGUUCUCUCCACUCUGCACAGGCCAUACAAACGCUUCACACCGCGUGGCCGCUGCCACUCUAACCUGGUGGUCCCAGCGCGCACGACCCACGUGGAGUUCCAGGUCUCCGGCAGCCUCUGGAACUGCCGGUCUGCGGCCAACAAGGCUGAGUUCAUCUCAGCCUAUGCUACCCUCCAGUCCCUAGACUUCCUGGCGCUGACGGAAACAUGGAUCACCACAGAUAACACUGCUACUCCUACUGCUCUCUCCUCGUCUGGCCACGUGUUCUCGCAUACCCCUAGAGCAUCGAGCCAGCGGGGUGGUGGCACUGGAAUCCUCAUCUCUCCCAAGUGGACAUUCUCUCUUUCUCCCCUGACCCAUCUGUCUAUCUCCUCAUUUGAAUUCCAUGCUGUCACAGUUAUCAGCCCUUUCAAGCUUAACAUCCUCAUCAUUUAUCGCCCUCCAGGUUCCCUUGGAGAGUUCAUCAAUGAGCUUGACGCCUUGAUAAGUUCCUUCCCUGAGGAUGGCUCACCUCUCACAGUUCUGGGUGACUUUAACCUCCCCACGUCUACCUUCGACUCAUUCCUCUCUGCCUCCUUCUUUCCACUCCUCUCCUCUUUUGACCUCACCCUCUCACCUUCCCCCCCUACUCACAAGGCAGGCAAUACGCUUGACCUCAUCUUUACUAGAUGCUGUUCUUCCACUAAUCUCAUUGCAACUCCUCUCCAAGUCUCCGACCACUACCUUGUAUCCUUUUCCCUCUCGCUCUCAUCAAAAACUUCUCACUCUGCCCCUACUCGGAUGGUAUUGCGCCGUCCCAACCUUCGCUCUCUCUCUCCUGCUACUCUCUCCUCUUCCAUCCUAUCAUCUCUUCCCUCUGCUCAAACCUUCUCCAACCUAUCUCCUGAUUUUGCCUCCUCAACCCUCCUCUCCUCCCUCUCUGCAUCCUUUGAUUUUCUCUGUCCCCUAUCCUCCAGGCCGGCUCGGUCCUCCCCUCCUGCUCCGUGGCUCGACGACUCACUGCGAGCUCACAGAACAGGGCUCCGGGCAGCCGAGCGGAAAUGGAGGAAAACUCGCCUCCCUGCGGACCUCGCAUCCUUUCACUCCCUCCUCUCUACAUUUUCCUCUUCUGUCUCUGCUGCUAAAGCCACUUUCUA